UACAGAGGUCCCAAGCGUUGUUCGGAUUCAUUGGGCGUAAAGGGUGCGUAGGCGGUCGGGUAAGUCUGAUGUGAAAUCUCCAAGCCUAACUUGGAAACUGCAUUGGAUACUAUCCGGCUCGAGGAAUGGAGGGGAGACUGGAAUACUUGGUGUAGCAGUGAAAUGCGUAGAUAUCAAGUGGAACACCAGUGGCGAAGGCGAGUCUCUGGACAUUUCCUGACGCUGAGGCACGAAAGCCAGGGGAGCAAACGGG
rnacentral:rRNA from 1 species